rnacentral:rRNA from 1 species
GACGAACGCUGGCGGCGUGCUUAACACAUGCAAGUCGAACGGAAAGGCCCUGCUUUCGUGGGGUUCUGGAGUGGCGAACGCGUGCGUAACACGUGUGUAACCUGCCCUUGUCUUUCGGGUAACUUCAGGUAACUGGGGCUACUACCGUAUAGGAUCUCCUGCUGCGUGGAGGGGGGUGGAACUUUUGGGCUGGCGGGGAUGGAUGCGCGGGUUAUCAGCUUGCUGGUGGGGUAGUGGCAUACCCAGGCUUUGACGGGUCGGCGGCCUGAGUGGGUGACCGGCGACCUGGGGACUACGAUACGGCCCAGACUCGUACGGGAGACAGCAGGCGGAAAUAUUGUACAAUGGGCGCGAGCCUGAGACGGCAACGCCGCGUGCGGAAUGACGGCCUUCGGGUUGUAAACCGCUUCAGCCUGUGACGAAGCGUGACUGACGGUAAUGAAUGAAGAAGCACCGGCUAACUACGUG